rnacentral:tRNA from 1 species
GGUGCCGUGGUGUAGUUGGUUAUCACGUCAGUGUAACACACUGAAGGUCUCCGGUAAAAGUCCGGGCGGCGCCA